AGUGCGAGGGCAUAGAGCCCUCGCUUUUGUGUACCGUAAGGUGGUACACGAAUAAGGGCUGGGCAAGACCGGUGCCAGCCGCCGCGGUAACACCGGCAGCCCGAGUGAUGGCCGAUCUUAUUGGGCCUAAAGCGUCCGUAGCUGGCCGCGGAGGUCCGUCGGGAAAUCUACUGGCCUAACCAGUAGGCGUCCGGCGGAAACCCCGUGGCUUGGGACCGGGAGACCUGAGGGGUACGUCCGGGGUAGGAGUGAAAUCCCGUAAUCCUGGACGGACCACCGGUGGCGAAAACGCCUCAGGAGAACGGAUCCGACAGUGAGGGACGAAAGCUAGGGUCUCGAACCGGAUUAGAUACCCGGGUAGUCCUAGCCGUAAACGAUGCUCGUUAGGUGUGGCGCAGGCUACGAGCCUGCGCUGUGCCGUAGGGAAGCCGUGAAACGAGCCGCCUGGGAAGUACGUCUGCAAGGAUGAAACUUAAAGGAAUUGGCGGGGGAGCACUACAACCGGAGGAGCCUGCGGUUUAAUUGGACUCAACGCCGGACAUCUCACCAGCUCCGACAGCAGUAAUGACGGUCAGGUUGAUGACCUUACCCGACGCUGUGAGAGGAGGUGCAUGGCCGCCGUCAGCUCGUACCGUGAGGCGUCCUGUUAAGUCAGGCAACGAGCGAGACCCGCACCUCUAGUUGCCAGCAGCAUCUCGCGAUGGCUGGGUACACUAGGGGGACUGCCGCCGCCAAGGCGGAGGAAGGAACGGGCAACGGUAGGUCAGUAUGCCCCGAAUGAGCUGGGCAACACGCGGGCUACAAUGGCCGAGACAGUGGGACGCGACGCCG
rnacentral:rRNA from 1 species